UACGGGGGGGGCAAGCGUUGUUCGGAAUUACUGGGCGUAAAGGGCUUGUAGGUGGCCAACUAAGUCAGACGUGAAAUCCCCCGGCUUAACCGGGGAACUGCGUCUGAUACUGGAUGGCUAGAGAUUGGGAGAGGGACGCGGAAUUCCAGGUGUAGCGGUGAAAUGCGUAGAUAUCUGGAGGAACACCGGUGGCGAAGGCGGCGUCCUGGUCCAGCACCGACGUUCAGGCACGAAAGCGUGGGGAGCAAACAGG
rnacentral:rRNA from 1 species